rnacentral:rRNA from 1 species
UGAACGCUGGCGGUAGGCCUAACACAUGCAAGUCGAACGGCAGCACAGUAAGAGCUUGCUCUUACGGGUGGCGAGUGGCGGACGGGUGAGGAAUACAUCGGAAUCUACUUUUUCGUGGGGGAUAACGUAGGGAAACUUACGCUAAUACCGCAUACGACCUACGGGUGAAAGCAGGGGAUCUUCGGACCUUGCGCGAUUGAAUGAGCCGAUGUCGGAUUAGCUAGUUGGCGGGGUAAAGGCCCACCAAGGCGACGAUCCGUAGCUGGUCUGAGAGGAUGAUCAGCCACACUGGAACUGAGACACGGUCCAGACUCCUACGGGAGGCAGCAGUGGGGAAUAUUGGACAAUGGGCGCAAGCCUGAUCCAGCCAUACCGCGUGGGUGAAGAAGGCCUUCGGGUUGUAAAGCCCUUUUGUUGGGGAAGAAAAGCAGCAGGUUAAUACCCCGCUGUUCUGACGGUACCCAAAGAAUAAGCACCGGCUAACUUCGUG